rnacentral:rRNA from 1 species
GACGAACGCUGGCGGCGUGCUUAACACAUGCAAGUCGAACGGUGAAGCGCCUUCCUUUUUGGUGGGUGUGGAUGAGUGGCGAACGGGUGAGUAACACGUGAGUAACCUGCCCCCUUCUUCUGGAUAACCGCAUGAAAGUGUGGCUAAUACGGGAUAUUCUGGGUCUGUCGCAUGAUGGGUCUGGGAAAGAUAUUGUUUCGGUGGGGGAUGGGCUCGCGGCCUAUCAGCUUGUUGGUGGGGUGAUGGCCUACCAAGGCGGUGACGGGUAGCCGGCCUGAGAGGGUGGACGGUCACACUGGGACGGAGACACGGCCAAGACUCCUACGGGAGGCAGCAGUGGGGAAUAUUGCACAAUGGGCGCAAGCCUGAUGCAGCGACGCCGCGUGAGGGAUGGAGGCCUUCGGGUUGUGAACCUCUUUCGCCAGUGAAGCAGGCCUGCCUCGUUUGUGGGUGGGUUGACGGUAGCUGGAUAAGAAGCGCCGGCUAACUACGUG